GGAGGGGUGCCAGAGUGGUCGAUUGGGACGGUCUUGAAAACCGUUGAAGGGUCACACCUUCCGUGGGUUCGAAUCCCACCCCCUCCGC
rnacentral:tRNA from 1 species